GUUGCGGUGGCCGAGUGGUUAAGGCGUUGGACUAGAAAUCAAAUUGGAUCUUAACGCGCAGGCUCGAAUCCUGCCCGCAACG
rnacentral:tRNA from 1 species